rnacentral:lncRNA from 1 species
AUGUUUGUAAACUUUAAAGAAUCUUGGAUGAGUGGUUGUAGAAAUUACAAUCUUCUUUAAUUUAGAGGUAGACUUAGCAUUUAUCUUUCGCUGCAGGAGUACCUUUUUGGUGUUUCCUAGCUAUAACACUGUACUUAUAAUUUUUUUUUUAAGAGAUAGAUAAGAUGCUAUUCGUUUUGUUUAUUUUUUUUAGAAAUAAACUUAGCUAGAAACGUGAAUCAACUGGGAUUUAAAUUUGAGAGCUCGGAUACCAACAACCAAGUCCUUUGCCAUCUGCGUCAGGGACGAUCGGUACAGUACUUAUAAUUAAGUUGUUCAUUGAUUGAUAUGUA